CCUACGGGAGGCAGCAGUGAGGAAUAUUGGUCAAUGGACGAGAGUCUGAACCAGCCAAGUAGCGUGAAGGAUGACUGCCCUAUGGGUUGUAAACUUCUUUUAUAUGGGAAUAAAACGUUCCACGUGUGGGAUUUUGUAUGUACCAUAUGAAUAAGGAUCGGCAAACUCCGUGCCAGCAGCCGCGGUAAUACGGAGGAUCCGAGCGUUAUCCGGAUUUAUUGGGUUUAAAGGGAGCGUAGGUGGAUUGUUAAGUCAGUUGUGAAAGUUUGCGGCUCAACCGUAAAAUUGCAGUUGAAACUGGCAGUCUUGAGUACAGUAGAGGUGGGCGGAAUUCGUGGUGUAGCGGUGAAAUGCUUAGAUAUCACGAAGAACUCCGAUUGCGAAGGUAGUUCACUGGACUGCAACUGACACUGAGGCUCGAAAGUGUGGGUAUCAAACAGGAUUAGAUACCCGUGUAGUC
rnacentral:rRNA from 1 species